AGUACUUCUUUGAAAAUUCCAAACAACUUUAAUGAGUCAAUAAUUAAAAUCUAAAUAAGUCCAUUAACAAAUAGUAGACAAAUGGUCCCAACAGUAGCUCAGGAUAUUCUGCACAUUAGCUGCUAUCCUCACAAUGUGUGGUCCGCCGGUGAGGUAGCGUGUGUUCCACGCAGCGUUCCACCUGAAGCCUCACUCAAGGAUGUGCUUCC